rnacentral:rRNA from 1 species
UACAGAGGCCCCAAGCGUUACUGAGAAUCACUGGGUUUAAAGGGUGCGUAGGUGGUCCGUUAAGUUCGUUGUGAAAGCCCUGGGCUCAACCCAGGAACUGCUUCGAAUACUGGCGGACUUGAGGCUAGUAGAGGUCACUGGAACUGACGGUGGAGCGGUGAAAUGCGUAGAUAUCGUCUGGAACGCCGAAGGUGAAAACAGCUCGCUGGGGUUGUGCUGACGCUGAGACACGAAAGCCAGGGGAGCGAACGGG